GAUAAACGCUGGCGGCGCACAUAAGACAUGCAAGUCGAACGGAGUGGCGGACUGGUGAGUAACACGUAAGCAACCUGCCUAUCAGAGGGGAAUAACAGUGAGAAAUCAUUGCUAAUACAGCAUACUGAUAGAUGGGCUUGCGUCUGAUUAGUUAGUUGGUGGGGUAACGGCCUACCAAGACUACGAUCAGUAGCCGGACUGAAGGUUGAACGGCCACAUUGGGACAGAGAUACGGCCCAGACUCCUACGGGAGGCAGCAGUCGGGAAUAUUGCGCAAUGGAGGAAACUCUGACGCAGUGACGCCGCGUAUAGGAAGAAGGUUUUCGGAUUGUAGACUAUUGCGUUAGGGAAGACUGUACCUAAGGAGGAAGCCCCGGCUAACUAUGUGCCAGCAGCCGCGGUAAUACAUAGGGGGCAAGCGUUAUCCGGAAUUAUUGGGUGUAAAGGGUGCGUAGACGGAGAAACAAGUUGGUUGUGAAAUCCCUCGGCUCAACUGAGGAACUGCAACCAAAACUAUUUCCCUUGAGUGUCGGAGAGGAAAGUGGAAUUCCUAGUGUAGCGGUGAAAUGCGUAGAUAUUAGGAGGAACACCAGUGGCGAAGGCGACUUUCUGGACGAUAACUGACGUUGAGGCACGAAAGUGUGGGGAGCAAACAGGAUUAGAUACCCUGGUAGUCCACACUGUAAACGAUGGAUACUAGGUGUAGGGCUGUGCCGCCGCUAACGCAUUAAGUAUCCCACCUGGGGAGUACGACCGCAAGGUUGCAACUCAAAUGAAU
rnacentral:rRNA from 1 species